GGGAACGUACCCUUCGGUUCGGAAUAACUCAGGGAAACUUGAGCUAAUACCGGAUACGCCCUUUUGGGGAAAGGUUUACUGCCGAAGGAUCGGCCCGCGUCUGAUUAGCUUGUUGGUGGGGUAACGGCCUACCAAGGCGACGAUCAGUAGCUGGUCUGAGAGGAUGAUCAGCCACACUGGGACUGAGACACGGCCCAGACUCCUACGGGAGGCAGCAGUGGGGAAUAUUGGACAAUGGGCGCAAGCCUGAUCCAGCCAUGCCGCGUGAGUGAUGAAGGCCUUAGGGUUGUAAAGCUCUUUCACCGAUGAAGAUAAUGACGGUAGUCGGAGAAGAAGCCCCGGCUAACUUCGUGCCAGCAGCCGCGGUAAUACGAAGGGGGCUAGCGUUGUUCGGAAUUACUGGGCGUAAAGCGCACGUAGGCGGAUAUUUAAGUCAGGGGUGAAAUCCCAGAGCUCAACUCUGGAACUGCCUUUGAUACUGGGUAUCUUGAGUAUGGAAGAGGUAAGUGGAAUUGCGAGU
rnacentral:rRNA from 1 species